ensembl:lncRNA
CACGAAUCUUGGCAGUGAUUUCUGCAUGCACGUUACUUGUCCCCUAAUGUAACACAAAAGCUACAACUGAAGAGGAAAAGGGAGCAAGAAGGGGUGAUUUUCACACCAGCAGCAAUCACUUCCCAUGAAAGCCUACCACAGUGAUGUUGUUGAGGGUUGUGGGUGCAUGAGAGAAAAAGCUUGAAAAAUCAUUGUGAGAGUAACAAGGAGGAGAUACGGUGGCAGAGGCUCUGGCAAACUGCCCUUGCAUCUUGGGUGAAAGGUUGUGGAGUUGGAUCAAAAGGCAAUUUACAACAGUGCAGGCAGAAGGCCAAAUUGCUAAGAUAUCUAAAGCAGUGUGCAACAAGGUGCAGGAGAAGAAUCCUUCACUAUUUUGGCCUUAGAACAGAACCUGAAGAGGAUGUGAAAGCUCUCUCCUUGGAGGUACCCAGAGCUUGACUGGAAAAGGUCCUCAGCAACCCAAUCAAACGUGAAGGCUUUCCAACAGAUAUUCUUGGAGAAAUCAGCCAUGCCUAGGUUUAUAAAAAUGAACAGAAACAGCAGCAGCUCAGAUUGCAACAGCCAGUGUACUUUGUUGGCAUUGUGAAAUACAGCAUAACAAAACCUACAGCUCCGUGGAAGAUACCCUGCAACACCAGCCAUUUUCUGCCUAUCGCUGUGUCAUCUGAGCCAUCCUUAGUUCAUUUGCUCAUUGAUGUUAUUUUUCUCAGUGCCUGUGAAACCAGGAAUGGCAUGCAGUAUGCUUGGAAUUUGUCCAGGUUCCUGUUGAGAUAGUAGAAUGGAAAGAAAAUAAAAAGUACACUGACCCAAUUUACCCAAGUAAAUGUAUUGGGCCAUGACAAGAAAUGAAAUGAACAUGUUUAUUGUUGAAUCAUUUUUCAGGUGAAGCGGCUUAGGACAAUAUAUUAUAAAUGGAGCUGGAGAUCAGGGACUAGAGACUUCUCAUCAGGGUGUCUAUUAACUUCAAAGGGUG